rnacentral:rRNA from 1 species
ACACGUGGACAACCUGCCUCAAGGCUGGGGAUAACAUUUGGAAACAGAUGCUAAUACCGAAUAAAACUUAGUGUCGCAUGACACAAAGUUAAAAGGCGCUUCGGCGUCACCUAGAGAUGGAUCCGCGGUGCAUUAGUUAGUUGGUGGGGUAAAGGCCUACCAAGACAAUGAUGCAUAGCCGAGUUGAGAGACUGAUCGGCCACAUUGGGACUGAGACACGGCCCAAACUCCUACGGGAGGCUGCAGUAGGGAAUCUUCCACAAUGGGCGAAAGCCUGAUGGAGCAACGCCGCGUGUGUGAUGAAGGCUUUCGGGUCGUAAAGCACUGUUGUAUGGGAAGAACAGCUAGAAUAGGAAAUGAUUUUAGUUUGACGGUACCAUACCAGAAAGGGACGGCUAAAUACGUGCCAGCAGCCGCGGUAAUACGUAUGUCCCGAGCGUUAUCCGGAUUUAUUGGGCGUAAAGCGAGCGCAGACGGUUUAUUAAGUCUGAUGUGAAAGCCCGGAGCUCAACUCCGGAAUGGCAUUGGAAACUGGUUAACUUGAGUGCAGUAGAGGUAAGUGGAACUCCAUGUGUAGCGGUGGGAAUGCGUAGAUAUAUGGAAGAACACCAGUGGCGAAAGCGGCUUACUGGACUGCAACUGACGUUGAGGCUCGAAAGUGUGGGUAGCAAACAGGAUUAGAUACCCUGGUAGUCCACACCGU